CAUGUAGGCGGCUUAAUAAGUCGAGCGUGAAAAUGCGGGGCUCAACCCCGUAUGGCGCUGGAAACUGUUAGGCUUGAGUGCAGGAGAGGAAAGGGGAAUUCCCAGUGUAGCGGUGAAAUGCGUAGAUAUUGGGAGGAACACCAGUGGCGAAGGCGGUCUACUGGGCACCAACUGACGCUGAGGCUCGAAAGCAUGGGUAGCAAACA
rnacentral:rRNA from 1 species